UGUGUACUCCCUCCGUUCCAAAAUACUUGACUUCCAUUUGUCCAAAAAUGGAUGUACCUAUAUACUAAGACAUGUCUAGAUACAUAUAUAUUCUAACAAAUAGAAGGCAUGUAUUGUGCAACGGAGGGAGUAGAAU
rfam:Triticum aestivum genome assembly, contig: Triticum_aestivum_CS42_TGACv1_scaffold_212941_3AS